CCUACGGGGGGCAGCAGUGGGGAAUAUUGGGCAAUGGGCGCAAGCCUGACCCAGCAACGCCGCGUGAAGGAAGAAGGCUUUCGGGUUGUAAACUUCUUUUAAGAGGGAAGAGCAGAAGACGGUACCUCUUGAAUAAGCCACGGCUAACUACGUGCCAGCAGCCGCGGUAAUACGUAGGUGGCAAGCGUUGUCCGGAUUUACUGGGUGUAAAGGGCGUGCAGCCGGGAAGACAAGUCAGAUGUGAAAUCCCGCGGCUCAACCGCGGAACUGCAUUUGAAACUGUUUUUCUUGAGUACCGGAGAGGU
rnacentral:rRNA from 1 species